AGCGUGGCACUCCAUCAUACUCUGCUUCUGACUGGCUAUCCUUACCUAGCUACCGCGCAUGUGCGACUACCAACAAAGAUAGAACAGAGGUGAGAUGUCUCACUCGGAAGCUAAAACAGAGAGCUCAACACAGGGUGAAAAGAGGAGCUGCAAAAAAUGUGCAGCACAACAAAUAAAUGUUGUUUUUUGAAAAUUAAACCAAGUAAACCUAUUCAGGUACAACCUCUGAAUACAAUUAUGAACCUGAAAAUGAGCAUAAUGUGGGCCCUUUAAA